UGCUGUGUAAUUUUAGUGCUUCGUAUUUGAAUAAAAUUUGUUUCUGACUUGUGAAAGAUAUGUUAUAAGCCUUUCGACGGAAUAUGUAAAUUACAGUUGAUUGGGGUCCAUAUAAUACCAUUUUGAGUUGCCAGAGUAAAGCUUCCAGAGCAGAGUUGCCAUAGCAGAGCUUCCAGAGCAGAGCUGCCAGAGCCAGAGCUAACCAGAGCAGAGCUUCCAGAGCAGAGGGUCAGAGCCACGUUGCCAGAGCAGAGAUGCCAGAGCCAGUGCUAACCAGAGCAUAGCUGACAGAGCCAGAGCUAACCAGAGCAGAGGUUCCAAAGCAGAGGGCCAGAGCCAAUUUGCCAGAGCAGAGAUGCCAGAGCAGAGCUGCCAGAGCAGAGAUGCUAGAGCUAAGUCAUUAAAGUCAGAGCCAGAGCCAAGUCAUUAAAGUCAGAGCCAGAGCCAAGUCGCCAGAUCCAGAGUCAGAGCUAAGUCAUUAGAGUUAGAGCGGGAUGAUGAGGAUAAAAUCCAGCUCAGUAAUUAGGGGACAACAACCUGACAAGUUAUAAUCUAAUAAUAGCCUUAAUUAGUUUAAUGGCGAGCAUGCGGAAUAGAUGACCAAACGAAUUUACUACUUUACCCCAACUGUAAUGCCUAUAAAUACCUACGAUGAUGAAAUAAAGCACACGCUCUCUCUUUUACUGCUUUAAGAACUCUUCUCUUUCCUUUCUCUCUAGAGUUUGAACUAAUAAAAUUACAUAUAUAAAUAAAAUAUCUAAAUUGUUAGAGUUAUGUUUGUUAGAUAGUUGACAAUUGGAGUCAUGGUUGAAUAUAAUUUCAUAUUUGAUGAUGGUCUCUCAAACUCUAGAUGAGAUGAUGCUCAAAACUCCAGACGAGAUGGUGCUCUUUCAAGUUUUAGACGAGAUGAUUCUCUUUCAAGUUUCAAACAAGAUGAUGCUCAGAAGUUAGAGGUGAUCUGUCAAGUUUGCGACGAGCUGAUGCCCACAACUUGGUUGGUCUUAAAAC
rnacentral:lncRNA from 1 species